UUCCCUUUUCUGCACACCCCUCUCCAGCACUUAUUGUUUGUAGACUUUUUGAUGAUGGCCAUUCUGACUGGUGUGAGGUGAUAUUGUAGUUUCAGUUUGCAUUUCUCUAAUGAUUAGUGAUGUUGAGCAUCUUUUUGUGUUUUUUUUUGGGGGGGGGAGCCAUCAGUACACACAUUACUCCUUUGAUCACUGGAUUAUGGGGUGAUCUGAACAGUUCAGGGGAGGGAAGAUGGCAAAAAUACCACGGGGCACUUGGGAGGUUUGGGGCAGUACUUAAUUACGACUGGAUACAGACACAUGUCAGUAUUUUCACCGCUGUCCUGGUCACACAGGUACAAAUCUCUGAAUGUAUGUCUGGUGUCUGACCCUGUGCUGGGUGCUGGGGAGGAACAGUAAACCUAAGCAGACUUGGUUCUUCUUGCUUGGGAAAAAGAUUAUGGCCAUCAAAUGAUAAGCAUGUGAUUAUAACCUGGGAUAAAUAUUCUAAAGGAAAGAAGUUUGCUACGAAAGCAUGAAGCCUAGGAGGCUCCCCCAGUGUUGGGGUCAGAAAAGCCUUCCCUGAGAGAUGACACAGGCCCCAAACCUGAAUGAGAAUUCAUUUUGGGGGGAGGGGGACAAGAACUUUCCAGAAAGGGAACAGCUUUUGUAAAAAAGCUCUGGGGCAGAAGGGAACAUAGUAUAUUUAAAGGAUGGAAAGAAGGUGCAUGUGGCUGGAACUGGAGCGUGGAGCUGUGGUGUGGUUCCAGGUGACUUCAGGGACACCCCUGGGGGCCAGGCCAGGUGGGGCUUUGUAGAUUUGAAACAGUCAAAAAGAUAGUGACAGCCUGCUCUAGGUUGGGGGCAGAGGGAAUGGAGAGGACGCUGGAGGUGACAGGCUGGGGACAGAUUGGAUUGGGGUGGGGGCGAUGGCACGUCUCCAGGGUGUUUCCUCAGUUUCUGGUUCCUUUAUCUGGUGGAGGGUGGGUGGUACCCUUCACUGGGAUCAAAACACUGGAAUAGGAUGACCUCUGUGACCUUGAAGAAUCUCAUCUGCUCUCAGGGUCUCAGUUUCCUCGUUUGUGUAAAGACGGAUAGACUGUAUGAUCUCCAGUGGCCCAUCACUGACCUCCACAGAUGAGGACAGACCAACCUGCAGUAAGGGCCGUUGUCACCUUCAAAAGGGACUCCUGAGAUGCAGUUUCUAGGUCAUGGUUACCGAAAAUAUUAGAAUAUAAAAACCUUAGGUCUUCUCGUCCUGCCUCAUUCCCAGAGCCAGACAUUUAGAGAUAGGAUUCUUGAGUGAUGCUCUUUCAUUUUUUUUUUCCCUGCUGUGAACUCCACCUUCUGCAGGGGAAAAGGAGUGGAAUUACACAGCUUGACACAAGCUGAUGAUGUAACCUUGUAGAGUUGCUUACCCUCUCUGGUUCUCCGGGUUCUCGUCUGUAAAAAGAAAGUGCUGGAUGCACUGGACCCCGUGGUCCUUUUCUCUGCUUGUGUUCUGUAUUUCGUUCACCUGGUUUUCCCAUAACGGUGCUUGCUUGAACCUGCCGGUGCUCAUAAACUUCUAGGAAGGGCUGGACCCUUCUGCCAGGCAGGCUGGCAAUCUCCCAAGAUGCUUUGCUAUCAGAUCUGCCUGCGAGGGGAGGCCUGUGCCGGGUCUGGGCCAUUGUUUGUGGGAGGCUGGCCAGGGAGCAGCGUGCCCCAGAUUUGUGAGGGAACACCUGCUGUUAGUUCUCUGAGGGGGUGAGAAGGUGAAGGGGAAAGCAGAGACAGGUCUGGACUCCCAGGAACCCAGGUGUCCUUUGUCCUCACUGAGGGAGGAACAUUUUUACCAAAGCCUUGCUUCCUUACCAGUGCCUCUGGGGUGUGCGGUGGUGGUGCCUUGAGGGGGGGCCGUUCCCCCUCUCCCUUUUUAUGUUAUUUAGUGCACAAAUCCAUUAGCAUUGCUUUUUCUUGAGCAUCCAAGAUGUUACAGCCUAUCACUCAAGCCAUUCACAUGGCAUUUCAGCCUUUCUUCGGCAGACAAUUGUGUCUUCAGUCAAAGACCUCUUGACAAUAGAAAAUGGGAACCUGAGAUGGAAAAUGCGGCCAAGUGCUCGCCGUACACCUGCAGAAUGCAACUCUCUGCAUCAUUAUGUCCCAAAUUGUUGUGCUGAAAGAUUUUUCUUGGUUGCGUCUUUUUAUGCCCCAGCAUUUAACCUUGGGGCUCAGCAGAAUCAGUCUCCUCUACUCAUCUUACCACCGCGGUUCUUUCCCGAGUGGCCUUCAUUUUGUGUAAUUAUGUUGGGGCAGCAUCUUAGAGGCCCCGCAAGAUGAGACGGCUGCCUCCGAUUCCCUCCGCUCCGGGAACUCGCUUUAGGUCAUUUACCAAUGCUAAUAUUUUCGGUGUCUUCAGAGACCGCAUCCCCCAAAUAAGAGGGGGAGGUUUCAGAUGAAAGGUUUUUUAUGUACCUAAAAACCAGGGGUCAUGAUCUUACCCCAGAGUGCUCAGGACAGUAAGAGUGACAUAGACGUCUCAGAAAAAGUCCAGGUUGCUGACAUAGUGAUGAUGGCUUGGUGGUUCUCAGCCUGUGAGGUUAGGUUUAAAACACUUUUUUAGUUAUGGGACAUUUCGAACCUAAUACAAAAAGAACACUGCUGGUGGGAAUGUAAAAUGAUGCAGCCGCUUUGGAAAAUGGUUUGCAGUUUCUUAAAUGGUUAGUCAGAGUUACCAUUUGACCAGCAAUUCCACUCCUAGUAUGUACCCAAGAGAAACGAAUGCACAUGUCCAACAGAAAUUUGUACACUAACAUUCAUGGCAGCAUUAUUCACAAUAUGCCCUGAAGGAGAACCAACCCAAAUCCCAUCAACUUAGGAAUAGAUAAAGAAAAUGUGGUCUCUCCAUUGAGUGGGAUAUUAUUCAUAUAUAAAAAUAAGUGAAGUAUUGCUACAUGCUACAGCAAGGAUGAGCCAGUCACGAAGGACCUCAUAUUGUAGGUUUCCAUUUAUAUGAAAUGUCCAGAAUGGCAGUCUGUAGAGACAGGAAGUGGAUCAGUGGUUGUCUAGGGCUAAGGGUAGAGGGGGGGAGGAGGAGGGGGCCUGUGGUUGGGGAUGCAGGGUUUCUUUAUGGGCUAAUGAAAAUAUUUUAAGAUUGAUUAUGUGGAUGGGGGCACCGCUCUGGAAUAUACAAGAGUUGUUGAAUCAUGUACUUUAAAUGUGUUCUGUGUAUAGUAUGUACGUUUAAAAAUUUUAUUUUUAUUUAUUCAUUUUAUGAUUUUUAUUUUUUACAUUAUUGUUGAUUUACAGUGUUCUGUCAAUUUCUACUGUGCAGCAAAGUGACACAGUCAUACAUAUAUAUAUUCUUUUCUCACAUUAUCCUCCAUAUUCCAUUGCAAGUGACUGGAUAUAGUUCCCUGUGCUAUACAGCAGGAUCUCACUGCUUAUUCACUCCAAAGGCAAUAGUUUGCAUCUGUUAACCCCAGACUCCCAGUCCCUCCCCCUCCUUCCUCCUCCCCCUUGGCAACCAUGAGUCUGUUCUCCAAGUCCAUGAGUUUCUUUUCUGUGGAAAGGUUCAUUUGUGCCAUAUAUUACAUUCCAGAUAUAAGUGAUAUGGUAUUUGUCUUUAUCUUUCUGACUUCACUUAGUAUGAGAGAUUUAAUUUCAAUUUUUUAUUUUUUGGCUGCACCCAUGGCAUGUGGAAAUUCCCUGGCUCAAGAUCAAACCUGUACCACAGCAGUGACAACACCAGAUCCUUAACUCACUGAGCCACUAGGGAACUCCUCUAGUAUAUAAAUUAUACUUCAGUAAACUUUAAAAGAAGAAAGAAAAAAGAUAGAAUAGUAUAGUGAAGCCUGGGUACCAUCUCCCAACUUCAGCAGUCAUCCUGCAUUUUCACCUUUUGCCUCUCGGUUAUUAAUAUCAUUUCAUCUAUAAGUAUUUUAGAGCAUACUUCUAAAGGAUAAGGGCACUUGAAAAAUAUAACAGCAAAACCAUCAUCAAAUCUAACAAUUUAACAACAAUUUCUUAAUGUCAUCCACUAUCCAGUGUUCAGCUUUCCAUGUUUUAAAUUUUUUGCAGUUGUUUGUCUGUGACAUGAUUCAGAUUAAGUCUACACCUUACAAAUGAUUGAAAUGCUUUUAAGUUUUUUUAAUCUAUAAGCUCUCCCUCUAUCUCUUUUUUCUCCCUGAAAGUCUUCUAUGUAAGAAAUCCAAGUCAUUUGUCCACAGUCUGGACUUUGCUGAUUGCAUCCCUGUGGUGAAGUUUAGUGUGUUCCUCUGUCCCCUGUGCUGCUCGUGAAUUGGUAGCUCCAUCUGGGGCCUCGAUCCCAUUCCUUAGGGGUUUUGUGUUCUUCCACCAGGAGGCGCUAGACACCUGCUGACUCUCAGUGAUUUUCGCAGCUCUCAAUCACCAGGGCUUGGAUCCACCAAUUCAUUGGCAAUGGUAGGACUUUUUAAAAGACAUAGAUAUGGAUUCUUUCCCCGUACACUAAGUGAGGCCAUGCUUUUUCAAGUCUCAGUGUGCCCAGACUACUGACCUAGUGCUUUUCACACCAAGGUAGAGUCAGGAGCAUGGAUGUGUUUGUGUUGACUGCAUGAUCAGGAACUCCAUCAGGGAAGCAUCUGUAUCUUACUCGUCUUUGCAUUUUGUUUCUAUAACUUACUAGUUCUGUGAUUUGGAGCAAGUUACUUCAUUUCUUUAACCUUAGUGGUCUCAUCUGUAAAGUGGGGCUGGCCCCUGCCCUACUUUCCAGGGCUGAAUUGAGGAUUGAUGAGCCAUUGCGCACAUAGCUUU
rnacentral:lncRNA from 1 species